AGUAAUGUAUGGGGAUCUGCCCGAUAGAGGGGGAUAACUACUGGAAACGGUGGCUAAUACCGCAUAAUGUCUACGGACCAAAGCAGGGGCUCUUCGGACCUUGCACUAUCGGAUGAACCCAUAUGGGAUUAGCUAGUAGGUGGGGUAAAGGCUCACCUAGGCGACGAUCUCUAGCUGGUCUGAAAGGAUGAUCAGCCACACUGGGACUGAGACACGGCCCAG
rnacentral:rRNA from 1 species